GCAUUGGUGGUUCAGUGGUAGAAUUCUCCCCUCACACGUGGGAGAGCCGGGUCCGAUUUCCGGCCAAUGCA
rnacentral:tRNA from 1 species